AGCCAGGCGAGCGGCGACGGCUUCUUCCCUGAAGAUACAUCAAUCCUCAGCUGUUUGGGGGUUGUUGCUGUGUUAUUUUUUUCUCCUAAAGCGUGUUUCGGUAUUUUCCAUGCCGUGAGGAGAGAGAGAAGCGGUGUUUUCCACCCCUGCGAAGAAGAAAAAGCAGUAGAAGAGAAAAGAAAUGAGGCAUAAAACUACCCACCUUGGGGUUGUGUUGAAGAGGGGAAAGUGCAGAAAAGGGACUGAACGCUCUGUGAGGAAAGAUGAUAUUAGCAAAACGGCUGGGACGGGGUUGCUGUUAAACUGAGUCAAGGAGAGAAAAACCAGUUGUCCUCCAGCUCUUUCUGUCCCAAUUUGGAAAAGAAAAAAGAAAAAGAAGAUAUAUAAUCUGCACUAAACCCCCAGCCAGCAAAGCCCUGGAAGCUGCUCCAGCCUCAGUUUCCCCUCCUGCAGCAUUUCCUUCCCGGAUGAUGGAAAAACGAGGGAUCAUGAGGAAUCCAGCUCAUCCCGCCCCUCUGCUUCUCCCGUUUCUCACAGCCAACCCGGGGGACGCCGGGAAAACGCCAUUUCCAGCCCAUUCCCCUUCCUGGGCUCGGCUUGCCUCCAAAAUCUUGGGCUUGCAAACAAAACCUGCAACAAGACCUUGUGUUUCUUACAAAGCAACAUUUUGGCUACUCAUUUAAAAACGCUGUGGCCGUGCCCAUCAGUUCCUCCUUUAAUUUAAAAGCUUUUUUAAAAAGUGUUGUCCCUUGAGUUGCAAGAAAACAUAAACUUUUCUUUUUUUAGAUGUGAUACACCAUUGUAUUCCUGGGAGCAAGCAGGGUACGAUAUCAGACUCCUUCGCUGGGAAAGCCCGGGGAAAUUUAAUCCUGGGGGCCGCACCCAGCCUGAAGUGAAGAAAUAUUUGCGUUUGCUUCUCCUUGGAGGGCAGCCAGGUCCCUCCCCGCUCUCCUUGGCCAAGAGGGAUUGCAAGAAAAAAUGGGUUUAUUACAGCAGCCAAGGGAAAGGCAGCGCUGGCCGGGCGAUUCGGGGGUGCUCGAUCCUCAUUGUACGGCUGCUGGAAGGCGACAAGCGAGAUUUAGAGAGGUUUUUAUACCUGGUGGUCUUGGGGGGCUCUGUAACCGCCCAGGAGCUCCAUAUUGCUCCGUGUGUGAUUUUAUUUUUGCUGGCGUUUGUAAAACACGCUGGGAAGGGGCUGAGGCGCCGCGGCCAAUGUGGGUUUGCUGGGCAGCAGGACGGGACCAGCUCCCCCCCCUGCAAAAUCUCUUCCCCGCGGCUCAGCCGGCGCUGGAAAUUCCUCGAGUUCCUCCUCAGGGAGAACGCAGGGCCGUGCUUUUCAGGCUUAGCAACACUCCCCAUGCCGCAGCUUUUAAUAUUUCUCCCCUUAUCCAAAAAUAAAAUGGCUUAAAUCAA